rnacentral:tRNA from 1 species
CUUAAUGUGGCAGAUUAGUGCAAUGAAUUUAAGCUUCAUUUAUAAAGAUUCAUCUUUCGUUAAGA